AAAAAAAAAAAAAAAAAAAAGCUCCUUUAAGAAGAGAGAGAGAGAGAUGGAUUUAUCCAGCGCUAAAGCAGAAUCAGGAAUGACAGAGGUGGCGAGAAAUGCUGCUGCAGAAAUGACUGCUCUAAAGGUAAGAUUAAAUAUAAAAAUAAUAAGAGCAUGGUUUAACAUAAUGACAACAGAGCCGUCUUUAAUCUGGAGCUGCAUGGAAACAGUGUAACAAAGCAAAAUUGGAAUAAUUCAGGCUUUGCACCAAAUAAUGGUAUAAUUAUAGUGUCUGGGAUUUUACACUGUUUGUGCUAAUAAGGAGUUCCCAAAGGGAAAUUGUCUUGUUGUGGUUUAGGUUAAGUUUCUGCAGCUGUAUUAAAUUUGUGCAGUGCCUUGUAAAAGUAUUCAUACUCCUCCAACCAUUAACAUCUACAUAUUCACUCGGGCUUGACGCUAUUGACCAAGACAAAAUCGGAAAAUGGAACGGAAAUGGAAAUGAAAAGUGGAAAAUUGCAACUUGUAUUUGUGUAAAGCCAAUUUCACUUUGAUUCCCUUAAAUAAAACUAACUGGUUGCCUAAUUGGUAAGUGGUCCGUCUGUGUGUAAUUUAAUUUCAGUAUGAAGACAGUUGAUCUUUGAAAGCCUCAUGAGUUUGUUGGGGAAAAUUUGUGAACAGGUCACGUUUUCAAAGUUGCAGAAAGACUUGAGAUUAUGCCAGAGGUUCACAGAAGUGUUUGGUGGUAUAAUAUGAAAAAGUUCAAGGCGUUUGAAUACUCUUGCAGGGAAAUGCAUGUAGGCAACACGUCACUGAGCUGUGGCCAGGAUAAACCAAAGGAGACGGCAAAGGAUUCUACUUUUUAAAACAACUGUAACAGCAGAGAUAAAUAAAUCUGGUUUCCAACAGAAAAAAAAUAAACCCCACAUAAAAAACUGCCAGCUAGAGUAAAGACUUUAGAGCAAGAUAUUAUGCAAAUGUGCCUUUUUAGGGAGAACUAUUAAAAUAAUUACAUGCCAGAAAUUAUGAUCAAUUAAAAAUAUUUUACAUACUACUAAAAUCUGCUCAUACCUCUGCAAGGACUUUUCAAGUAAAAGCCACAUAACAGGUUUUUUUUUCAAAAAAUCAAGAAUGGCUUCUCCAGUCUUCAAGGGGUUUUUUUCAGGACUUGAGGGCUGAACAGAGGAAAUUGCUUCUUUCCAACCCCAAUCGUCUAAUAAACGUCCCUUUUUUAUAUAUAUAUAUAUAUAUAUAUAUAUAUAUAAAUGGACAGCUUAAAUCUGCAAGGUGAAAAUGAGUGAAAAAAAAAAACUCAGUCCCCCUUCCUACAUUUGUAAGAUGGUAUCAGAUAACGAAUGUAUCAUCAAGAGAACAUACAUACAGUCCAGUCCAUUGGUUCUCAUAUCCAAAAUAGUUCCCAGAGCAGCAUGGUUUCAGUCUGCUAAAGUUCAAGGUGAGGUUUGAAAGAAAUGGUUGGGUGUGACAUGGGAACCAGUUGUUUUUUUAUAAUUUUUUUUUUUAGGGAACCUGGGUCACCCCUUUCAUCUUAGUCGCUGAUCCAAUCACUGCUCUGUGUUUGGUGGCAUCACGAGUAGCGACGAAUCAUUACAUUACAACACCGACUCACCAACCACACAGGACACGCAUCUACUACCACACAACCAUACUCCGGCCUAAUACUGUGAACAGGGACAACAGAGAUCGGAAAUGCUAAGAAGACGACAGAAAGAAAAGGGGCAGACGACCUGGGGGAGAAAGGGGUUAGAGGCAAGAGAAGGAAACGAAAUGAAACACUCAUCUACACUUACAAUUCUGCAUGAUGUUUACACAAUAACACCAUCGACAAUCACUACAGACAUUCUUACUGUCUUCUAAACCUAAUUUCCACUGAGAAAUACCAGAAAAUGGAAACACCAGAGGGAUGGCUUAGGGAGAAGUGACAUGGAGGCAACAUCCUGUUCUCAACACCACGGCAGCCGAAAUGGCUGCAGUUAACAGUAGCGGUAGAAAUCAGGCCAGUUUUGCCAUCCGUUCUCAUUUUGUCUCAUGAAUCUUUUAACAGCUGUUUAGUUAUUCAUCUUGACAAAGAAUCUGUGGUUUCAUCAUCCCUGACAAGGGACAAAAAUGGAGUUUGCAUAAAUCAUCUUAAAGGAACAAGAGAGUUCUCUCUCCUGCAGCAAAUUAUACCCAAACCAUGAAUUUGUUCUAAUAAAGAGGGUCUUUCUUUUGAUCACUGAGUUGUAACUUUUCCACUGUAUGGCUUCCAGAAAUAGAAAAAAAUUGACAUUUUGCGCUCACCAGCCCGGUAAGAACCACUCCCUUGUACUAACACUUUGCUUCGUACAGAGGAUCUGGACUGAGCUGUUCAGAACCGAACGCUUCCUGGAGGCGUGGACUGUGUCGAGGUUUUAAAUUUUAAAUUUUAUGUUUGCUCGUGACGAAUGAAAUGCGCAAGUUCGACGCCACUUACCGGAAAUUGCCUACACUGUAAACAACCGUCCUCCACUGCGAAGAGAAAGAAGCGCUCAUCCGAAAGAAGUGGCUGCCAGUGUUGAUUAGCGCAGAAGAUUGACGUCAUCGUUCACGAUUCUCUUUCUGUUCGCUGAUUGGCCCGUUCAAAAAUUGACCGGAGACAAUCUGAGAGAGCCCAGAUUGUGUUGGAUAUGAGGACUUUUUUUGUUUGUUUUGGAAGCUAACGCUGAGAUUUUGAUUCAAAACCGUUUCAUGUCUUUUUGUCACUAGAACACAAUUUUCAACUAUCAGUGUAUUUUGUCUGUUAACCAUUUUUAAAACCUUUUCUCAAAAAAAACAUUCUGUUUAUUACUUAGACAAGUAGGAUGCUAUUUAUUAACAAGCCAAUCCUAGCAAUACUAAUCGACUUGGUUGCAUCUAUUAUUUAUUUACUGACCAAAUUAGAUGUUUUUUUUGGCAAUGAAAGUCACAGAAGUAGCAUACAAAUUUUUGAACCCAAUAUUACAUCUACUGAAAGUGGUAAAAGUAAGGCACCAUAGAAGAGGUGUAAAUUAUCCACCCAUGAGACAAAUGACCAUUACUGCUAACCGGUAAAAUAGGAGUGAAGUUAAAUACCUGUGGCAACCGGCACAGACACCUGAGCUACGUAUUUUUGGUGCCUUUAAUUUGUAUAGGUUAAAGCUGGAAAAGUCCUAAUUUUGUGACUAAGCUGAAGGGCCCAAUUCAUCCACUUGAGUUCAAGUCUGAUUUAAAAGGGAAACAGACUGGAAUAAACUGCUCAUUUACACUUAUAACAUUUCUGUGUUUCAUUAAGCCAGUUGAAAAUAUUGAGAAAUAGUUUGGUUUUGGCUUGUGUUGUGAACAGCAUUUAGCCUGGUUACUGAAAACUAAAUGACAUUUUCCUGGUUUUCUGACUGAUUAUGUAUGACACCAUUCUGAGAUUUUAAUUUUGGCAUCUGUGGCUAUAAUCAAAUCAGUACUAUCAAAUCCCACUGGUAUUCAUAUCUUCGCCCAGAAUGUGCUCAACUCAGUUGGUUUCAUUUCUGAUGAACAUGGAAGAUGGCAUGAAUGGUGAUUGCAUGCGACUGAACGAUGCAUAUUAUUGUUCAGCUUGAAAGAAAGCUCGGUGGACACUGAGCUUUUCACCCGAGCAAAACAAUUUUGCUUGUUAAAAUAAUGAACAAUAUAAACUUUAUGGUUUACUUCCUGGGUGUUGGACUCCAGGCCAUCAGUGCAGACGUUCUGCAACUUUCUAAUGUCUUCCUGGACCAACACACCUGAAUUAAACGGCUGAAUUGAUGCAGUCGAGUUCUGCAACAUUCUACUAUCAGCAUAAUUAUUUGAUUCAAAUGUGUUGAAGCACAGACACAUCUAGAACAUGCAAAUUACAGACCCUCAAUGUCUUGAGUUUAACACCUCUUGCUCAGGAGUCAUCAGAACUACUGUUUUGUUUGUUUGUUUUGCCAUCAUCAAAAACCAUCAGUUUAUAUUAACUCAAGUUUCUGAGCAGUUUAUAUUUUGUUCGCAGGCUCCAUUUAGAUCACUUUGUGAGGUGUUGAGAACAGAAUAACGUCUCAUGGUGGAUGAGGUGCUUUAACACAGUGAACAUUCAGAAGCUCACAGACAACAACGACUGAACAGAAUAAAAAUAAGGGACAAACAAAUAUGCAACGUAACGCUUGAAAAAAA